rnacentral:rRNA from 1 species
GACGAACGCUGGCGGCGUGCUUAACACAUGCAAGUCGAACGGAAAGGCCCUGCUUUUGUUUGUUUCUCGUUUGGCGAACGGGUGUGUAACACGUGAGUAUCCCGCCCUUGUCUUUGGGGUAACUUCAGGAAACUGGGGCUAUUACCGGAUAUGAUCUCUUGCUGCGCGUUGUUGGUUGGAAAGUUUCGGCGGUUCGGUAUGGACUCGCUGCUUAUCAGCUUGUUUGUCUGGUAGUUGCUUACCAAGGCUUUGACGGGUAGCCGGCCUGAGAGGGUGGACGGGCACAUUGGGACUGAGGUACGGAGCAGAAUGGUACGGGAGGCAGCAGUGGGGAAUAUUGCACAAUGGGCGGAAGCGUGAUGCAGAAACGUCGCGUGCGGGAUAACGGGCUUCGGGUUGUAAACAGAUUUCGAAUGUGACGAAGAGUGAGUGACGGUAAUGGGUAAAGAAGCAACGGCUAACUACGUG